UGUAUAAAGUGAAACGAGAUACUAAAGACAU
rnacentral:piRNA from 1 species